AAAAGAAAAGAAAAAAAAAAUUCUCCUUCAAAUAUUGCAGAAUAAAAGAUAUUGUACAAAAUACUUUCAUGAUGAUGUGAACACUAAUUCCUGCCUUCCAAAAAUGAAGCAGGAGGAUAGGCAAGGGCCAAGACCUUUAGUUGAGACUUAGAUAUCAGAUCACACUUUAGGGAGAUUAUUAGAGUAGCCAUUUGAAGGAAGGGUGGAUGUGAGGCAAACAAGUCUAUAGGCGAGAGGACUGAUUGGGUUGUAGACCAAGAGGCAAGAGACAGCAAAGUCCAUAACCUCAACAGUGGUGGCAGAGGUGGAGAAGAGGGAUGGAUUCAAGACAUAUUGAGGAAAUAAAGUCAGCAGAACCUAGUAAUUCAUUGGAACUGGGAAAUUAAAAACAGAUGAGAACCAGGAAUGGCUUACAGAAUUCUGGUUCAGGCUUGAACUGGAACCAACAUUUGAUAAAGGAAGAGAUCCGUCCAACAUCUUAGUGAGGCUGCAGUGUCUGCUGCUGCUCUCCGAGCUUCACAAUGCCACCCAAGGAUGACAAAAAGAACAAGGAUGCCGGAAAGUCAGUCAAGAAAGACAAAGACCCGGUGAACAAAUCCGGGGGCAAGGCCAAAAAGAAGAAGUGGUCCAAAGGCAAAGUUCGGGACAAGCUCAAUAACUUAGUCUUGUUUGACACAGCUACCUAUGACAAACUCUCUAAGGAAGUUCCCAACUAUAAACUUAUAACCCCAGCUGUGGUCUCUGAGAGACUGAAGAUUUGAGGCUCUAUGGCCAGGGCAGUCCUUCAGGAGCUCCUUAGUAAAGGACUUAUCAAACUGGUUUCAAAGCACAGAGCUCAAGUAAUUUACACCAGAAAUACCAAGGGCGGAGAUGCUCCAGCUGCUGGUGAAGAUGCAUGAAUAGGUCCAACCAACUGUACAUUUGGAAAAAUAAAACUUUAUUAAAUCAAAAAAAAAA